GCUUUGAAAUGCCAUUCACCUGUGGCCCAUUUCAAGUUUCCCAUGAUUCUUAGGAAGACCCUGGCCUCCAUCUUGAAAACGGAAAAUAAAAACAGCAGACCUAUGAAGGUCGAAGGGGAAGAAAAGCUGUAUCGAUUGUUGAGAUCUGGCGACUUGUUUAAAUUUCAUCAGCCUCACUUCUAUGAACUCUCAGGCCUCACGUGUACCAGCUCUCUGCUCUCCUUUGCCUUGGGACGUUCCAUCCCUGGAAGUUUCCCUGCCCACAUCUUUGUAGAGAGUCCAUUCUCCAAGCUUCAGUGUGUCAUCUGUGAGGACCGUGACCCACCUGGUACAUCGCCUCAGGGCAUUCAUUUCAGGCUCCUUCUAAAUGGCCAAGUUUUCAAGAUUGUUUUGGCUCUAGCAAAAC
rnacentral:lncRNA from 10 species